AUAUCAGUCAUGCAUAGCAUAUCAAUAAGCGGAGGAAAAGAAACUAACAAGGAUUCCCUUAGUAACGGCGAGUGAAGCGGGAAGAGCUCAAAUUUGAAAUCUUCAAGGUUCUACCUUGACGAAUUGUAGUUUAAAGAAGUGUUUUCUGUUGGAGUUUUGGUAAAAGUUCUUUGGAAUAGGACAUCAUAGAGGGUGAGAAUCCCGUAUUUGACCAUUAUUUCCAGCUGUGUGAUACACUUUCAAAGAGUCGGAUUGUUUGGGAAUGCAGUCCAAAAUGGGUGGUAAAUUUCAUCUAAAGCUAAAUACUGGCGAGAGACCGAUAGCGAACAAGUACCGUGAGGGAAAGAUGAAAAGAACUUUGAAAAGAGAGUUAAACAGUACGUGAAAUUGUCAAAAGGGAAGCGUUUGACACCAGUGUUGUUUUUCCGAAAAUCAAUUACGAAUGUUUUGUUUUUGAGAAGUUAUGACUUCAUCGGCUUGCUUCUUUCUUUACGAAACUUUCUUAAUGCACUUUUCGGUUAACAAGUCAACAUCAAUUUCUUUUGUUGUAAAAGGGUACGAGGAAGGUGGCUUUCUUUUCGGAGAAAGUGUUUAUAGCCUUGUACCUCUGCAAUCGGAGAGAUUGAGGUCUGCAGCGUAGAUCCUUCGGGGUUAGAUACAUUUGUGCUAAGUUAUAGCUUUUCAUAGACAACUUGUUGACUAUGUUAGUCUUGUUAGCUUACUCGCUUAUGCUAUUUUACCUACGCUUAGGAUGUUGAUCUCUCACAGUCGAGC
rnacentral:rRNA from 1 species